UGAGGAAUAUUGGUCAAUGGACGAGAGUCUGAACCAGCCAAGUAGCGUGAAGGAUGAAGGUUCUAUGGAUUGUAAACUUCUUUUAUACGGGAAUAAACGAAUCCACGCGUGGAUUUUUGCAUGUACCGUAUGAAUAAGGAUCGGCUAACUCCGUGCCAGCAGCCGCGGUAAUACGGAGGAUCCGAGCGUUAUCCGGAUUUAUUGGGUUUAAAGGGAGCGUAGAUGGGUUGUUAAGUCAGUUGUGAAAGUUUGCGGCUCAACCGUAAAAUUGCAAUUGAUACUGGCAGUCUUGAGUACAGUUGAGGUAGGCGGAAUUCGUGGUGUAGCGGUGAAAUGCUUAGAUAUCACGAAGAACUCCGAUUGCGAAGGCAGCUUACUAACCUGUAACUGACAUUGAUGCUCGAAAGUGUGGGUAUCAAACAGGAUUAGAUACCCUGGUAGUCCACACGGUAAACGAUGAAUACUCGCUGUAGGCGAUAUACAGUCUGCGGCCAAGCGAAAGCAUUAAGUAUUCCACCUGGGGAGUACGCCGGCAACGGUGAAACUCAAAGGAAUUGACGGGGGCCCGCACAAGCGGAGGAACAUGUGGUUUAAUUCGAUGAUACGCGAGGAACCUUACCCGGGCUUAAAUUGCAACCGAAUAUGGCGGAAACGCUAUAGCUAGCAAUAGCGGUUGUGAAGGUGCUGCAUGGUUGUCGUCAGCUCGUGCCGUGAGGUGUCGGCUUAAGUGCCAUAACGAGCGCAACCCUUGCCGAUAGUUACUAACAGGUUAUGCUGAGGACUCUGUCGGGACUGCCAUCGUAAGAUGUGAGGAAGGUGGGGAUGACGUCAAAUCAGCACGGCCCUUACGUCCGGGGCUACACACGUGUUACAAUGGGGGGUACAGAGGGCUGCUACCACGCAAGUGGAUGCCAAUCCCAAAAACCUCUCUCAGUUCGGACUGGAGUCUGCAACCCGACUUCAUGAAGCUGGAUUCGCUAGUAAUCGCGCAUCAGCCACGGCGCGGUGAAUACGUUCCC
rnacentral:rRNA from 1 species